rnacentral:tRNA from 7 species
GGGCCCAUGGCGUAACGGCUAUCGCGCUUCCAUGGCAUGGAAGAGAUUAGGGGUUCAAAUCCCCUUGGGUCCA